ensembl:lncRNA
GAAUGAGUCAGUGGACUGUCAGAAUGCCAGUUCCUGGUUGCUCAAAUUACUGAUAUCGCCUGCGUUCCAUGACUCUGCAGACAAAAAUGAAUGCUCCGGUUGGAACGUUAUUGGAUAUAUAUGAUAAUAACAUCCUGAAGAUUGAUUCUCUACUUAGUUUGACCAGUUUAUUUGACCUGGAAUAUAACUUUUGGAAGUUUUCGUCCGAUUUCGCCUGGACCAGCGCCAGCUUUUGGACAUAAACCUGCUAGCAAAAGCAGCUAAUUGGACACUAGUAAUGGACAUUAUGGAACAAAACAACAAUUUAUUGUGGAACUAGGACUCCUUGCACUGCAUUCUGAUGAAAGAUCAUCAAAGAAAUUACUGAGGACUUUUGACCAGGAAGUUUUAGUACUCCGACACCUCGCAGACGAAUGAGAGAUGGCAACGGGCGAGGAACACGGUGAUGCGAGGAAGCCAAAUUGUUUUGGAUGCGGAGUGAGAUCAAAACGAGAGCGAGACGGAGGGCAACCUUAACACAUCCUGACACUCAGACAGCAGAGGAGGGACCGGGAAUUUUUAGAGGGGGGAACAACCAGAAUUACACCACUCAAAUACUGAAGAGAUGUCAUCCUGCGAGUGGUUUGGCCUGCACAGAGUGUCUUUGGCCCGAAUAGGAGAUAUGGGAUAACUUCCUAUCUUGCCCUACUUAGUUGCCAAAUUGUGUCGGAUAGGUUAACGUCGAUUUGUCUACUAGUUUGAGUAUUUUUAAGAAUGUUACUUUUACAGACACUCUUGGUACCAUCGAGAAAGACUCUCAGUACUCUGCUGGGAGGCUCCUUGAAUGUUGAAGCUUUUAUCAAGGAAGAAAAAAAGAAUCAGAAAGCUACUGGAACAUUCAUCCUUGACUAAGAAAACAUUCCCACAAUGUUCAGAGUAUAUUCCUUCACAACUCUCAACUGAACAGUAACUGGAGAAAAACAUUCUGGGAACAUCCCCCGUUAGAUGGAGAACUGUUUCAUUGACCUGAUCGAUAAAGACAGAUAAAGGCUUUAGCUGGUUCCCAUAGGGCAGCGCAUAGACAUCACUGCUCUCUGUUUGGCGAUCAGAGGGCACCCUGAUUGAUGAUGAUUGAUAGUCUCCUAGUCGUCCCAUCAGUGUAAAGGCUGACAGCUGAUGGAGAAUGGAGAGGUGGAUCAAGGGCAUUGGUAGAAACAAGGACAACCCAACCACAGUUACAUUUUAUUGUAUAUUUGAUUUAACAUGUAUUUUACCAGGUUAGUCUCUUUGAGUGGGAUCUCUCCAACAAGAGAGACCUUUGCCACUGUAGCAUCACAAGUUAUGCUGAAUAAAAUAUAUAUAAAAUUAUUUAUUCAACUUGAACAAUAGUAUGAAUAUGAUUUGAAAAAUAGGCCUACAGUAUUUCGCUGACAUACUGGUUGAAAUCCCACUCCUGGUAAUUGUACGGAGUAUUAUUGAUUAUUUGACUUUGAUGGAAGCGGCUGUAGUCAGCAGUAGCUCCAUUGUGACUCAAAGGCUAAAGGCUGGCUGCAGGUACCACCCACACAGCAAUAUUGAAAACAGCAUCCCUGAACUGUAGGAUUCAAACCCACGAAAGCCAGAAAUAACCAUGUCACUGUUAUCCUAUACCGCAGGGCUUGAAGGAAGUGGAUGGAAACUGACUGUUUCAGCUGCUCUUGAAUGACUUGUUUUGCUCAUAGGCCAAGUGAUUGUGUCACCCACCCACCAAGCAAAUGGAAAUGCAAUGGUGGUUCUAGCCUGGAGACCCAACAUUGAACUGCAGUGGAUUCAACGUUGGGAAUAAAUGAGCGUUUGGAUGACGAAGGUUUCCUCUCACAACCUCUACAAGCCAGAAUGUUAAAUACAAUUAUAUUUUUAACUUACUUUACCGGUUGUCUGUGCAGUUGGUCCUUUGGCAGGUAGGAAUGUGGGACAAUAUAUCGACAGGAAAUUAUAAUUACAUCACCUUUUGAAAGUGCUGGAAGUGCAUUCAGAUUUCUAUCACCCGAAGCAUGUGCAGAACCAUGUAAACAUGUGCACGAGUUUAGCAAGUAUUCAUACAACUUGUGAAUGUAUUUUUAUCUUGUGCGCAUGACUCAGGUGAUAAAAAUCUAAAAUACACUACCAGCGCGUUGAAAAGUUCAUGUAAUUAUAUUUCCUGUCAAUGUAUUGUCCCACAUUCCUACCUGCAAACAGACCAACUGCACGGACAACCGGUAAAGUAAGAUCAAAUAUAAUUGUAUUCCAUAUGCUGGCUUGUAGAGGUCAUGAGGAAACUUUCCUGAUCCAAAUGCUCAUUUCUGCCUGACGUAGAAUUCAAUGAAAUUCCAGGUUGGGUUUCCGGCUAGGUGGGUUCAAGCCUGGCUCUUGGCUUUCCACUGGUCAUUAUUAUGCAACUGAGAGCCUAUGGCGAUUGAUUGUAAUCAGGAAUGUGAUGUUUUAAAUCUAUGGUUUUGAUCAAUAACAUCAAGUUAUGAACUCAAAACUUCAACAAACAAGACAUAAAUGGAUUUCACCUGUUGGAAAGACCAGCAGAGCACUCUUUGUUCCUGGCUUCCUCACCAGUGCAUUACUGAUCAUGCAUUCCAAUCAGUGUUCAGUUACAGUCAAUCAGUUUCAGGUGUAUCAGGCUUGAUUGCAGGCCUGAUUCCCCCAAUCCUCUGCAGCUGGAGAGUGGUGGCCAAUAGAGGUACUGCAGGGUAAUGCAUUCCAUUGACAAGGGCAACGGCAGCCAUCUUGUAGUGCUGCCCCCUUGUGAGACCAUUGAUGAAUUACAUUGCACAACCGUGAACAUAGAAAUAGGCUGUAGAGAACAGAUGUUUCACAUUCAUUCCAUAAUUUUCCAAUGCCAUGUGAGAGUAUCCCUGGCAGUGUCCAAAUAAUUUUUGAUGCUCCUAUUUUCUUGUCAUUUUCUUGUCAUUGAAUAACCUUGGGGAAGCAAGUCAC